rnacentral:rRNA from 1 species
AUUGAACGCUGGCGGCAGGCCUAACACAUGCAAGUCGAGCGAGAGGCGGACGGGUGAGUAAUGUAUGGGGAUCUGCCUGAUGGCGGGGGCUAAAUACUGGAAACGGUAGCUACUACCGCAUAACAUCAGAUGAGCCCAUAUGGGAUUAGCUUGUUGGUGGGGUAACGGCUCACCUAGGCGACGAUCCCUAGCUGGUCUGAGAGGAUGAUCAGCCACACUGGGACUGAGACACGGCCCAGACUCCUACGGGAGGCAGUAGUGGGGAAUAUUGCACAAUGGGCGCAAGCCUGAUGCAGCCAUGCCGCGUGUAUGAAGAAGGCCUUCGGGUUGUAAAGUACUUUCAGUCGGGAGGCGUUACCGACAGAAGAAGCACCGGCUAACUCCGUGCCAGCAGCCGCGGUAAUAC